CCCCUUCUUGGACUUGUAGUAGACGUCCAUGAAAGUCCCGAUCGCCUUGUACUUCCUGCGGCAGUGGUGGUACAGCUCUCGAUCGAACAUCCUCCAGAAGUUGUCCUCGCUGAGCUCCGACACCGAGUACUGCGGUUGGAAACCAUGGUUCUGGAUCAGCCAUUCCUCGAGCCUGUGCACGGCCUCGGCGCCGUCGAACUCCUCACCUCUCAGCACAGGCCCGGGGGCGUAGUAGACGCCGAUGUCCGCAAACAUCUGCGCGAAGCUGGUGUCUCCCUGUUUCGGAUCCAGCUCGAAUCCAGGUUCUGGGUAUACCAUGGUCUUCACCGGGAGCUUGAAGAGGCGAUGUGGGCAAAGCCAGAUCGGAU
rnacentral:lncRNA from 1 species